UACGUAGGGUGCGAGCGUUGUCCGGAAUUAUUGGGCGUAAAGCGCGUGUAGGCGGCUUUGCAAGUCGGGUGUGAAAGCCCUCAGCUCAACUGAGGAAGUGCGCCCGAAACUGCAGAGCUUGAGUGCCGGAGAGGGUAGCGGAAUUCCCCAACUAGAGGUGAAAUUCGUAGAUAUGGGGAGGAACACCGGUGGCGAAGGCGGCCACCUGGACGGCAACUGACGCUGAGACGCGAAAGCGUGGGGAGCAAACAGG
rnacentral:rRNA from 1 species